rnacentral:rRNA from 1 species
CUCUAUGAAUAAAUUAAAUGGCUGCAGUAUUUUAACUGUACUAAGGUAGCAUAAUCAAUUGUUUUUUAAAUGAAAACUAGAAUGAAAGGGGUAAUGAAAUAUAAUCUUUAUUUAAUUUAUAAUUUGAAUUUAAUUUUUUAGUUAAAAAGCUAAAAUAUUUUUAUAAGACGAGAAGACCCUAUAGAAUUUUAUAUAAUAAUUUAUUUAAAUUUUAUAUUAUUAAUAUAAUUAUAUAUUUAUUUGGGAGGAAUUUUAAAUUUAAAACUUUAAUUUAUUUUGAACAUAAAUAAAUGAUUUUUAAAGAUUUUUUUAAAAAUGUAAGAUUAAAUUACCUUAGGGAUAACAGCGUAAUAUUUUUUUAAAGUUCUUAUUGAAAAAAGUGUUU